UAACUGUGCUUACAGCCUACGGGGAUACACCGGGUGAUGAUGUACCGGCCCCCCAGCCCCGCCAGGCCGCCCAUCAGCAGCUGCAGGGAGGUCUCUCGUCUUGGAAGGUUCUUAGAACUGACAGAAGCAAAGCAAGAUCAUGGGGAUGAGGAUAUGCUAGAAGCUUGGCAAAGAAGGCCUUGGAGGCACUGGUGGACAAGAUGACCAUGACCCAGGAGAUACAGUAAGAAGACCAACACCGUCAGGGGCUGCAUUAGCAAGCAUUGCCAGUGGGUCAAAGGAGUUGAUCCUUCCACUCUACUCAGCAUUGAUGAGAAGUUGCUUGGAGUGCUGAGUUCAGUGCUGGGUCCCUCAGUACAAGAAAAACAUGGACGUGCUGGGGUGAGUCCAGAGAAGGGUCAUGAAGAUUAAGGGACUGGAGCAUCCUUUAUAUAUGCAGAGGCUGAGAAGACUGGGGUUUUUGAGCAUGAAGAAGAAAAGGCCUGAGGGAGUCUGAUCAGUAUGCACUAAUACUUGAUAUAAGGGAAUUAAAAUAAGGGAUUCAUUCUUCUCUGUAGGGCUUGAUGACAGGACAGAAGUGAGUGGGCAAACGUUAAAUUUCACCUGAAUAUAAGAGAACACGUUUUUACUGUUAGAGUGAUCAAACGCGGGAACAGGUUACCAAGAGACGUGAUGGAGUCUUGCUCCAUCUUGUAAUCCUGUAAUUUCAGUGAUCCUGUAAUAGAGAACUGAUAAAACUACAUGCUUACUUUUGUAUUUAUAGUAGACUCU